ensembl:misc_RNA 7SK 7SK RNA
GGAUGUGAGGGUGAUCUGGCUGCAACAUCUGUCACCCCAUUGAUUGCCAGGGUUGAUUCAGCUGAUCCGGCUGGCUAGACGGGUGUCCCCUUCCUCCCUCACUGCUCCAUGUGUGUCCUUCAUGAACCUGCACACUCAGUUGAAGAGGACAACCAUCCCCGAUAGAGGAGGACUAAUCUUCUUUCAAGGGGGUAGGAGUAGCUGCGCUCCCCUGCUGGAACCUCCAAACAAGCUCUCAAGAUUGCAAUUUAUUAAAUCAUUUAUUCAUUCAUUUUGUAUUAUUUUUAAACCAUUUAUAUUGAAAUAAUUG